AGCUUUACUGGGGUUUAGCUGAGAUUAGUGGUUUUCAAUCGAUUUUAAGAAAAAUGAUAAUCAAACUCAAGGAUACUAGUGCUCCAUUGCUUUCCCCUGAAACAACACCUAACGGCAACCCACAGUUACACUCCGAGCCUAUGGUGGGUUUCUCUCAAAAUCAUCUUCUAGGAGCUUUCAUAUUAGGAGGUGGAAUCGUCAUAUUCAUCGGUUUCGUUUUGUUAAUUUGCUACAAGCUAAGAAUUUUCCAGCUUCUUAAACAACGGUGGUCAAGAAAAAGAGGUUUGAAGUUUGAAAGCUCAUUGCAAAUAAGACGGUUCCGGUUAGAAGAAGUUGAGAAAGCUACCAAGAGUUUUAGUCGAGACUGUUUGAUUGGGACUGGAGCAUUUGGGAAGGUUUAUGCAGGGGUGUUUGAGGAUGACCGAACACUGGCAGUUAAAAGGGCCCAUGAUAAUUCAUUUCAGAGUCUCCAAGAAUUCAGAAAUGAAGUAGAAUUAGUCUCAAAAGUGAAGCAUAGGAACCCUGUGGGCUUGGUUGGUUACUGCCAUGAAGCUGGUUCUCUUGUAUGGUGUAUUUUGUGGCAAUAGGGGUAAAAGCUCUGCUUUACGAGUAUGUACCUAACGGUUCUUUACUUGAAUAUAUAGUUGGAAUAGCUUUCCUUCAUGAAGGAGUAAUACCAUGCAUAAUCCAUAGAGAUAUCAAGCCAAGCAACAUAUUAGUUGGAUCAAGCUUUGAAGCAAAGGUUUCAGAUUUUGGAUUAGUGAAAUCGGGUCCAACAGGAUAUCAAUCUCAUGUUAGUAGUUACCGUUGAUACAACUAGCGACAGAAUUCCUGGUCACAUAAUAGAAUGGGCAAGGCCAAGCAUAGAAAGAGGUAUUGUGGAGGAUAUAAUAGAUGUAAAUCUACUAGCAGAGCCAUGCAACAUGCAGAUGAUGCUAAAGAUGGGACAACUAGGCCUAAGGUGCACGGUAGAGACACCCAAAAACCGUCCUACCAUGACUCAAGUGGCGCAAGAACUUGAGGAAGCUCUCGUUAUCACAGACAAUUAGUUGACACAUGUUCGCAAUCAACCCUACCAUUCCAAAGGUUCGAUUAAGGCGUCAAUGGAAGAAUUGCAUAAGUUUUCGGAUGAUCAUCAAACUUUACAACAU